AGAAUCAACGCUGGCGGCGUGCCUAACACAUGCAAGUCGAACGAGAAAGUGGAGCAAUCCAUGAGUAAAGUGGCGACCGGGUGAGUAACACGUGACCAAUCUACCCUUGAGUGGGGGAUAACCUCGGGAAACCGGGGCUAAUACCGCAUAACAUCCUUGGAACGGAAGUACUGGGGAUCAAAGGAGCAAUUCGCUUAAGGAGGAGGUCGCGGCUGAUUAGCUAGUUGGCGGGGUAAUGGCCCACCAAGGCAAAGAUCGGUA
rnacentral:rRNA from 1 species